GCUUCUUACAACAACAACCAUUGACUUUACCAUGCUGAGUAGUCUAUCUUACUAUAUAGUAGUACCAUCCCUUUUAUGUAAAGCUGGCCACAUUUAAUGUUUCCCCAUGGGCACACACAGACAUAGGAGGGUAUGAAGGAUUGCAGAAAUGUCUCUGUCAACCCUGCCAUCCCAAUGGGUUAGCCAGCCAUUCAACCAACACAUAAUUAUAUACUCCUUCCCCUGCUCUCCUGCCGGCUGCAACACAUCAAAAAUAUUGGUCCAAUUGCAAGAAUUCCACUCGUAUAUAUGUGCAGAGAAACACAUACAUUUACACAGACAUAAAUAUGCACUUCUACAAGCUACACCCGUAUGACAUAUAUUAUGUACAUUGUGUGUGGGCAUUCUGAAGUGAAGAUGAUUUGAUGGGAUUAGAUACAUUUAGCUACAACCAGAGCAGUAAAACCUAGACUCUUAAAACAACCAGUGCUCAUAAAACAUGGAAAAUAAAUGUAUUCCUGUUGUUUUUUUGUUGUUGGGGUUUAUCCUCCCAUAGCAAAGAGAAAUGUGUGUGGUAGUCUGCAAAGGUAAAAACAGGAGCUUUUAUGGAAUAGUGUGUAUUUCCUCACUUAGCACUUUACACCCAGAAUAGCAACAGUCUUGCCUUGAUACAUCUUGCCACGUCUUGAUACAUCAUGUCAUUUGUUCAGUGUGGUGAAAAUGAAUAAGUGUAUGUCAUAAAACCAUACAGUAACAUAUGAAAACAUCUAAUUUAUCUCA